UACAGAGGGUGCAAGCGUUAAUCGGAAUUACUGGGCGUAAAGCGUGCGUAGACGGUUACAUAAGUCAGGUGUGAAGCCCGGGCUCAACCUGGGAAUUGCAUUUGAGACUGUGUAGCUAGGGUGCGGAAGAGGGAAGCGGAAUUUCAGGUGUAGCGGUGAAAUGCGUAGAUAUCUGAAGGAACACCAGUGGCGAAAGCGGCUUCCUGGUCCAGCACCGACGUCAGGCACGAAGCGUGGGAGCAAACAGG
rnacentral:rRNA from 1 species